UCAUGAGCAUGAAUAUGGAGAAUGGAAGACACACAGAUCCUCAGAAGACAUUUACCAUUUUUUUUUAAACCCUUUCUCUCUUUUAAGAGUCUUUUAUAAACUCAGCUUACCAAGUAGGGUAGGCUAGCUGACACUGAGCUCCAAGGACUCAGUGGUCUUCUCCUCCCCAAGUGCUGAGACCAUCACAUACUACCAUGCUGGGUCUUAUGUGAGUUCUGAAGGUUGGUCAGAACUGACUGACUUAGCUAUCACUCCAACCCUAAAGAAAAACACUAGAACAAACACUAGAAGAAAUGAAAUGAAAUGGCUUGGAACUAAAAGGAAGAGGAGGAAGGCAAUAGAAAGAAUCAGAGAAGGCAGUCAGACAUGGAGCUAGCUCAGACUUGGGUGUGUGUAUCACAGGAAACUGCCCAUGGUAUUGUUUGACUUGACUGAGGGGCCAAUACAGAGGGAAGGAACAAACUCAAAACUCAGAGCAGGUCUUAAAAGGACCCUCAACAACAAGCAGUCGGAUUAGCUCUUCACGGUAGGGAGAACAGAGUCUAGGAGGCUCUAGUGCAGGAAAACAGCUGUUUCCAGGCAGAUUAGGCCAUCAGAAGGAUAAGACUGACAGGAGCAAUGCCUGUCGUUAUCUUAGUGAGAGGCACUGAGGCGUGGCAGAGAGAAACCAAGAGCAAGAUGCAGGACAUAUUCCAAAGCUGGGAUAAGGGCUAGUGGCCAGCAGACCCAAGGGGGCGCGAUCCGGUCCUGGAAGCAAGUGCUGGUCAGAGUGUCUGUUAUGUCAUGCGCCUGCCCAGCUGCCAGCCACUCACCGAGGACCAGAGCAACCUUCCCGCAGCUGCCGCCAUCUUCAGAGAACGCAAGAGCC